GGUGGUGGUCGAGUGGCUUACAGCGUUUGCUUACCACGUCGGAGGUCUGAGGUUCGAAUCCUUGCCACCACCG
rnacentral:tRNA from 1 species